rnacentral:misc_RNA from 1 species
GAUGAAGAACGUAGUGAAAUGCGAUAAGUAAUGUGAAUUGCAGAAUUCAGUGAAUCAUCGAAUCUUUGAACGCACAUUGCGCCCGCCAGUAUUCUGGCGGGCAUGCCUGUCUGAGCGUCAUUUCAACCCUCAUGCCCCUAGGGCGUGGUGUUGGGGAUCGGCCAAAGCCCGCGAGGGACGGCCGGCCCCUAAAUCUAGUGGCGGACCCGUCGUGGCCUCCUCUGCGAAGUAGUGAUAUUCCGCAUCGGAGAGCGACGAGCCCCUGCCGUUAAACCCCCAACUUUCCAAGGUUGACCUCAGAUCAGGUAGGAAUACCCGCUGAACUUAAGCAUAUCAAUAAGCGAGGA